GGUUUAUUGAAAAUAAUUUUAAAUCUAAUCUGCUUAAUGAUUAAUUAAAUAGCUGCAGUAUUUUGACUGUACAAAGGUAGCAAAAUCAAUUGGCUUUUUAUUGAAGUCGGGUAUGAAGGAUUGAACGAGAUAAAAACUGUCUCAAUUUAAUUGGUAGUUGAAUUUUAUUUUAAGUAAGAAUUCUUAAAUGUAGUUAAAAGACGAGAAGACCCUAUAGAAUUUUAUAAUUAGUACAAUAUUAUUAAUUUAUAUAUUUUUGAGAUAUAUUAUUAAUUAUUUAAUUGGGGAUAAUUUAAAAAUUUAAAAAAUUUUUUAAUCAAAAAAAUUAAAAAUUAUUAAUAAUUAAUUAUAUAUAUAUAUAUAUAUAUAUAUUUAAUCAUAGAUCUAUGAUUGUUUUAUUAAAAUCCAUUAUUAAUGAAAUUAAAUAAAAUUACCUUAGGGAUAACAGCGUAAUUUUUUUGGAGAGGAUAUUGAUAAAAAAGGUUGCGACCUCGAUGUUGAAUUAAGUUAAAUAGUUAAUAGAAAGAUUAAUUAAAUUAAGUCUGUUCGACUUUUAAAAACUUACAUGAUUUGAGUUUAAAACGGUGUGAGCCAGUUUGGAUUCUAUCUUUAAUUAAUUAAAAUAGUUUUGUACGAAAGGACUUGCUUUUUUUACAAUUGUAAAAAUUUAUGAAUAUAAAUUAAUAUUAGUGUA
rnacentral:rRNA from 1 species